UAUAUCAGUCAUGCAUAGCAUAUCAAUAAGCGGAGGAAAAGAAACUAACAAGGAUUCCCUUAGUAACGGCGAGUGAAGCGGGAAGAGCUCAAAUUUGAAAUCUUCAAGGUUCUACCUUGACGAAUUGUAGUUUAUAGAAGUGUUUUCUGUUAGUAGAGUGGCAAAAGUUCUUUGGAAUAGGACAUCAUAGAGGGUGAGAAUCCCGUAUUUGGUCAUUCUUUCUAGCUUUGUGAUACACUUUCAACGAGUCGGAUUGUUUGGGAAUGCAGUCCAAAAUGGGUGGUAAAUUUCAUCUAAAGCUAAAUAUUGGCGAGAGACCGAUAGCGAACAAGUACCGUGAGGGAAAGAUGAAAAGAACUUUGAAAAGAGAGUUAAACAGUACGUGAAAUUGUCAAAAGGGAAGCGUUUGACACCAGUGUUGUUUAGUUGAAAAUCAAUUAAAUAAUUUGUGAUUUUAAGUAGUAUUGACUUCUAUCAGCUUGCUGCUUUCUUUUACAUAAACUUAUCUUAAUGCACUUUUCAGGUUAACAAGUCAACAUCAAUUUCUUUUGUUGUAAAAGGGUAAGAGGAAGGUGGCUUGGCUUUCGGAUAAAGUGUUUAUAGCCUUGUGCCUCUGCAAUCGGAGAGAUUGAGGUCAUGCAGCGUAGACUCCUUCGGGGGUUAGAUACAUUUGUGCUAAGUUAUAGCUUGUCAUAGACAACUUGUUGACUAUGUUUAGUCAUUGUAGCUUACUCGCAUGACUGCUAUUUUACCUACGCUUAGGAUGUUGAUCUCUCACAGUCGAGC
rnacentral:rRNA from 1 species